AGGUGGAACUGGGAUCAGAGUUGGACAAUGAGACCUGGACAUCCCAAUGGCCAGGGACAACUCUGCCUUCAUCUGCUUCCUCUGAGGAUUGAGGGAGUGACUCAUGUGCUUUUAUAUAAUUUUCAAGUCUAGAUUAUGAUGUGAUUGCACUACACUGAUUUGACAAGAGACAGCUGAGACUCCAUAAAUAUGUCUAAGUGUCUAAAAUGAGGGAGUCAAGAGGAUGGAUCCAGGCUCUUUCUGGUGGUGCUAAGCAAUAGAACAAGAGGCAAUGGGCAGACGUGGAUGUCCAGGAAGUUCCACCUGGGCAUGAGAAGGAACUUCUUUACUCUGCAGUGACUGAGCACUGGAACAGACUGCCCAGAGAGGGAGUGGAGUCUCCCUCACUGGGGAUACUCAAGAAUCCUGUGCUCCUGUGUUCUCUUGAGCAGGGAGGUUGGACCAGAUGACUGACUGUGGUCCCUUCCAACCUGACCCAUUCUGUGUGUAGUUCUGUUAAUACAAAUCCUGUGUUAUUCUCGUAAUAAAUUCUGUGCUAUACUAAUAAUGAAAUGCUCGUAAUGAAAAUAAAACUUUAAUUGUUAA